AAAACGACUCUCGACAACGGAUAUCUCGGCUCUCGCAUCGAUGAAGAACGUAGCAAAAUGCGAUACUUGGUGUGAAUUGCAGAAUCCCGUGAACCAUCGAGUUUUUGAACGCAAGUUGCGCCUAAAGCCAUUAGGCUGAGGGCACGUCUGCCUGGGCGUCUCGC
rnacentral:rRNA from 1 species